rnacentral:rRNA from 1 species
UGCAGUCGACGGCAGCACGGGGGCAACCCUGGUGGCGAGUGGCGAACGGGUGAGUAAUGCAUCGGAACGUAUCCUUAAGUGGGGGAUAACGCAUCGAAAGAUGCGCUAAUACCGCAUAAUCUCUGAGGAGAAAAGCAGGGGAUCGCAAGACCUUGCGCUUUUGGAGCGGCCGAUGUCUGAUUAGCUAGUUGGUGAGGUAAAGGCUUACCAAGGCUUCGAUCAGUAGCUGGUCUGAGAGGACGACCAGCCACACUGGGACUGAGACACGGCCCAGACUCCUACGGGAGGCAGCAGUGGGGAAUUUUGGACAAUGGGGGCAACCCUGAUCCAGCCAUGCCGCGUGAGUGAAGAAGGCCUUCGGGUUGUAAAGCUCUUUCAGCCGGAACGAAACGGUCACGGUUAAUAACUGUGAUCACUGACGGACCGAGAAGAAUAACCACCGGCUAACUACGUGCCACAGCCGCGGUAAUACUAUGGUGCGAGCGUUAAUCAAUUACUGGGGUAGCGUGCCAGGCGGUUUGUUCAGAUGUG